AUUGAACGCUGGCGGCAGGCCUAACACAUGCAAGUCGAGCGGAUGAAGGGAGCUUGCUCCUGGAUUCAGCGGCGGACGGGUGAGUAAUGCCUAGGAAUCUGCCUGGUAGUGGGGGAUAACGUCCGGAAACGGGCGCUAAUACCGCAUACGUCCUGAGGGAGAAAGUGGGGGAUCUUCGGCCCUCCCGCUAUCAGAUGAGCCUAGGUCGGAUUAGCUAGUUGGUGGGGUAAAGGCCUACCAAGGCGACGAUCCGUAACUGGUCUGAGAGGAUGAUCAGUCACACUGGAACUGAGACACGGUCAAGACUCCUACGGGAGGCAGCAGUGGGGAAUAUUGGACAAUGGGCGAAAGCCUGAUCCAGCCAUGCCGCGUGUGUGAAGAAGGUCUUCGGUUUGUAAAGCACUUUAAGUUGGGAGGAAGGGCAGUAAGUUAAUACCUUGCUGUUUUGACGUUACCAACAGAAUAAGCACCGGCUAACUUCGUG
rnacentral:rRNA from 1 species